UACGUAGGGGGCUAGCGUUGUCCGGAAUCAUUGGGCGUAAAGCGCGUGUAGGCGGCCCGGUAAGUCCGCUGUGAAAGUCGGGGGGCUCAACCCUCGAAUGCCGGUGGAUACUGUCGGGCUAGAGUACGGAAGAGGCGAGUGGAAUUCCUGGUGUAGCGGUGAAAUGCGCAGAUAUCAGGAGGAACACCCAUUGCGAAGGCAGCUCGCUGGGACGUUACUGACGCUGGAGACGCGAAAGCGUGGGGAGCAAACAGG
rnacentral:rRNA from 1 species